CAUUUGUGAUAUUUAGUUGAUUGUUUGUUUCUUGAAUAACUAUUAUUACCUAACUAAGGUUGUCAAUUGUUGAUAAUUAAAUUAACAUCAGGUAAACUAAUGGUUUCAAGUGUGUGUACUUAUCUUUUUGUUUCCCUUACCUUGGUAAGAAGAUGAUGGAAGAAAAAAAAAAUGGAAGCGACAUUUUCAUGGCUCACUGAUUGGUUAUGUUUUCUUUUUCUUCAUUUCUUCUCUCAUUUCUCUUAUGCUUUUUUUCUGAUAUUCUUUUUACUUUUCUUCUCUAGUGCAAUGUGAACAGCCAGGAUGACGAUGAUGAUGAUGAUGAUGAUGAUGAUGAGGGUAUUAAUGACAAUAACAACACUUGGAUAUUCCGACAAUUAUACUACCGCCGAUGAGAAAUAUCAAUGAUGAUGAAGAGGAGGAGGAAAAAGAUGAGAGUAAAGAUACUAAGUGAAACAAGAAAGACGAAAACUCAUAUAAUAUAAAGUGGAUAUAAUAUGAAGUUUUUAACAAUAAAAUGGUUUUACUCAAUGAAGCAAAGCUAAAAACAGUAAACUUUUUACAACUAAAGAAGGAGAAAAGCAUGAUGAUGGUUUACAAACGGUUGAUGGUAAAAUAAAAAUGGUUACAAAUAUAAAAAUUGGUAAGAAAAAAAUAGACCAACACAUAAAUAUCUAUACUUUCGGAAGAAACCAAAAGAAAAAGGAAAAGGAAAGAGUAACAUGGAAUCAAGGAAAGAGAAUCAUGAUCACCAUCACCAACCAAAGGAGGAGAAUCAAUGGAAUAUAAGGAACAAGGAUAAAAAAAGCUUCUUUCCAAUGUAAAUCCAAUGUGGUUAAAGACAAGGAAAGGAUGAAGAUAGAAAAAGAGACAAGAGAGAAAAAGAUAAAAUUGGAAACAAAAGAGAACCAACAAAAUGAUAAUGAUGUUCAUCAUCAUCAUCAUCAACAUAAAAGAUAGAAAGAUCUUCCAGAAGAUAAUUUAUCAAUUGGUAUUAAAUAAUAUUCUCGAUCCGAUUUGGUGAAAUGUUGAGUCUUCAUGCUGGUUUUGUGAUUCUAGGAGAUUGUUAGAGGACAAGAACAUGGAAAAAAUUGUAAACCAUAUCAACGUUUACCUGACAUUUAACUACAUCAACAUCAACAUCAUCAACAACAACAACAAUGAAACAAGAGCGUAACAAACAAUAAUAUAAAUUGAUGUUGUUACUGUUUUCUUGUUAUUAUUAUUGUUGUUAUCUUGUUUCAACUGAUGCAACUGUGAUUACCAGUUAGUCUAUAAGAUGACGAGAGGAGGAGGAUGAUGAUAAGGGAUGAGGAUGAAGAUUCUGAGAAAGAAAAAAAACCAAAAGGUAAGAUGAAAUUUAAAGGUACAGAAUGAAAACAAAGACAUUGAUAUCAAAGAUACUUUCACUAUUUCCUGAGAGAAUAACUAAUAUACCUUUUAAUUUACUAUUUAAACAGGUAAGACAAGAUGACAAUGAAGUUAUUUCUUGUAGAACAUUUCGAGACAGAGAAGUUCGAAAGAAAAAGAAAAAGAAAAAAUGAAAAAAAUAAAGAAUCGAGGACAAACUGAAUGUUAUUCAAUGUGAAGUCACUUGAAAAUAUGUUUACCUUGGAUUAAAUAGAGUCAAUCACUUUUUCGUUGACCAACCAAAAGCCAAUAGCAAAUAAGAACAACAAAUAACAAACAAGUUAUUUUCUUAUCAAAAAGAAAAGAAAAUCGAAAAAAGGAAAUUCGAAAUUCGAAAGAGAGAGAGAGAGAGAGAGAGAGAGAAAGAGAGACGAAAGAGAACUCACUGGUUCUUUGAUACUCUUGACACUCUCUUUUCAUCUUCAUCUCUCUCAUCUCUUAAAGCCAUUUAAAUUAGAUGGACCAGAAUCAUUGAGGAAAAUGUUGAUAAUAUGAUUGAAAGAAAGAAAGAAAAAUUCUAUCUCACCUUCAAUUGCAUCUCUUUGUCAAUAGUUUCAAUGUGAUUUUCUCUCUGUGUAUAAGUUGUUGAAGAAAAGUGCACAAACCGUUGAAUCUAUUUUCAAUUAUCCACUUGACACACAGUGAGAUCGAGAGAGAAAGAGAGAGAACAAGAAGAUAAAAAGAAGAUGAAAAUAAAAGCAAAGUGAACAAACUUAUUUCAUCUUCUUUUUUUACUUGACCAUCUUCAUCUUCAUCUGAUGCUUAUUUCCCAUCAUCUUCUUACCUUUACCACCUUAUUCAAUAUCCUUUGAGAAUCUCUGUCUUUCUCCUCUGUCUCUCUUCUGGUUACCUCUAAUUUGGAUUGAGGUCAAUCCAAAAUGAUUCCAGAGGUUUGCCACAAACUCAAUGACAGCAUUUGCUGUCUCUCUCUCUCUCUCUCUCUCUCUCUCUCUCUCUCUCUCUCUCUCUCUCUCUCUCUCUCUCUCUCUCUCUCUCUCUCAUUCGCAUCCUCAUCUUCCCAUUUUCCUUAUUUUCUGCUCCAUCCAAUCAUCAUCAUCAUUUUAACCUUCACUUAUCUUGACUUCUUUUUCCUCUCUUUCUUUUUCUCUCCAUCCAACCACCACCUCCACCACCUCCACCACCAUCACUACCACCAACAUCAUCAUCAUCUUCAUCUUAUUUCUUUCCUCUUUCUUUGGGCUUCUUCAUCAUCUUACCUUCUCUGCUUAUGCUCACUUUGAUUCUCAAUUCUUUCUUACAAUUCCUUGGACAUUUAAGUGGACCAAAUAUUAAAGGUAAUGGUUCCUAACUUUUUUUAUUGUUGUUAUUGCUUCUCAACUACUAUUGCUAUUAUUACCAUUGGAUAUGCAGUUAGUGUGUCGUAAGUGUGUAGUCUAUGUGUAGAUCUAAACUCUCAUACACGGUUGAUGUUUUCAUGCCCAUUCAAUUGCUGUUGUGUUUUUGCUGCUCUUUUCACUUACGAUGGUGACAUCAACAGUAACUUGAGACAAGUUACUUUACUUUGGCUUCAUCUUCAAUAAAUGUCAACUUUUAUUUCACUUUUUCCUCCACCUCACUCACUUUAUCUCUCUCUCUCUCUCUCUCUCUCUCUCUCUCUCUCUCUCUCUCUCUCUCUCUCUUUCUCUUGGCGGUGUUGAUGUUUCUAUGAAAAAAUAGAAAUAAUAGUUUCCUUGCUUAGGCUUUGCUUGGAUUGCUUAUAUUUCCUCUUCCUUCUUGUCCUUUUCUCUCUCUUUCUCUCUCUCUCUCUCUGUUAUUGUCCAGUCUCUUGAAUGGUGUGUUGUUGUUGAUAUUUCCACCUCCCACCUUCCUCCUUCUCUAUGGUUCACCUAAUCUAUUGAACCUUAUUUUUAUUUCUAUUUUAUCUUAAGGCUCUUUUUAAAUGGUUCACUCUUUUGGCUUAUCUUUGCUCGGGCAACCAAGUUUAACAAUUGACAUAGACUCACAUAUUACACUCGAGGGAGAGAGUGGGAGGUUAAAGGUAAAGGUUAAGAAAUUGUCAGGAUAGAUUAGGAGGAGAAUAAGGAUGCGGAGGUGGAGGAGGUGAUGGAGAUGGAAAAGCAGGAAGUAGAAAAAGAUGAUGAGAGGAACAUCUUUUAUUUUGACAUCUCUCUCUCUCUCUCUCUCUCUCUCUCUCUCUCUCUCUCUCUCUCU